UCGCAGGCGGUUUCUUAAGUCUGAUGUGAAAGCCCCCGGCUCAACCGGGGAGGGUCAUUGGAAACUGGGAAACUUGAGUGCAGAAGAGGAGAGUGGAAUUCCACGUGUAGCGGUGAAAUGCGUAGAGAUGUGGAGGAACACCAGUGGCGAAGGCGACUCUCUGGUCUGUAACUGACGCUGAGGAGCGAAAGCGUGGGGAGCGAACAGGAUUAAAUACCCUGGUAGUCCACGCCGUAAACGAUGAGUGCUAAGUGUUAGGGGGUUUCCGCCCCUUAGUGCUGCAGCUAACGCAUUAAGCACUCCGCCUGGGGAGUACGGUCGCAAGACUGAAACUCAAAGGAAUUGACGGGGGCCCGCACAAGCGGUGGAGCAUGUGGUUUAAUUCGAAGCAACGCGAAAAACCUUACCAGGUCUUGACAUCCUCUGACAACCCUAGAGAUAGGGCUUUCCCUUCGGGGACAGAGUGACAGGUGGUGCAUGGUUGUCGUCAGCUCGUGUCGUGAGAUGUUGGGUUAAGUCCCGCAACGAGCGCAACCCUUGAUCUUAUUUGCCAGCAUUCAGUUGGGCACUCUAAGGUGACUGCCGGUGACAAACCGGAGGAAGGUGGGGAUGACGUCAAAUCAUCAUGCCCCUUAUGACCUGGGCUACACACGUGCUACAAUGGACAGAACAAAGGGCUGCAAGACCGCAAGGUUUAGCCAAUCCCAUAAAUCUGUUCUCAGUUCGGAUCGCAGUCUGCAACUCGACUGCGUGAAGCUGGAAUCGCUAGUAAUCGCGGAUCAGCAUGCCGCGGUG
rnacentral:rRNA from 1 species